CGACCUGGCUCACACCGGUCUAAACUCAGAUCAUGUAAAAUUUCAAAGGUCGAACAGACCUAAUAGUUUAGCCUCUACACCAAACAUUUAUUUUAAUCCAACAUCGAGGUCGCAACCCCCCUUUUCGAUAAGAACUCUAAAAGAGAUUACGCUGUUAUCCCUAAGGUAAUUUAUUCUUAUAAUCUAUAACUCAAGGCUCAUUAAAACACAAAUUAGUGAUUUAAAUAAAAAAAAGUUUUAUUAAUUUUUCCAUCUCCCCAACUAAAUAAUUUUUCCUAUAAAUCAUUUCCAAACCUUUAAAACAUCUUGUAGAUAAAAAUAUAAAACUCUAUAGGGUCUUCUCGUCUUCUACCAUUAUUUAAGCUUUCUCACUUAAAAAUAAAAUUCAACUAAAUUCCUAUAGAGACAGUUCUUUUUUCAUCAAACCCUUCAUUCCAGCUUUCAAUUAAAAAACUAAUGAUUAUGCUACCUUUGUACGGUCAAUUUACCGCAGCCAUUUAACUUAUCAUUGGGCAGGUCAGACUUGAAAUUAUAAUC
rnacentral:rRNA from 1 species